UACGUAGGGUGCGAGCGUUAAUCGGAAUUACUGGGCGUAAAGCGUGCGCAGGCGGUUUUUUAAGCCAGACGUGAAAGCCCCGGGCUUAACCUGGGAAUGGCGUUUGGGACUGGAAGGCUGGAGUACGGCAGAGGGAGGUGGAAUUCCACGUGUAGCAGUGAAAUGCGUAGAGAUGUGGAGGAACACCGACGGCGAAGGCAGCCUCCUGGGCCAGUACUGACGCUCAUGCACGAAAGCGUGGGGAGCAAACAGG
rnacentral:rRNA from 1 species